rnacentral:rRNA from 1 species
CAGGCCUAACACAUGCAAGUCGAACGAGAUCCUUCGGGGUCUAGUGGCGCACGGGUGCGUAACGCGUGGGAAUCUGCCCUUGGGUUCGGAAUAACUCAGGGAAACUUGAGCUAAUACCGGAUGAUGACUUCGGUCCAAAGAUUUAUCGCCGAGGGAUGGGCCCGCGUAGGAUUAGCUAGUUGGUGGGGUAAUGGCCUACCAAGGCGACGAUCCUUAGCUGGUCUGAGAGGAUGAUCAGCCACACUGGGACUGAGACACGGCCCAGACUCCUACGGGAGGCAGCAGUGGGGAAUAUUGGACAAUGGGCGCAAGCCUGAUCCAGCAAUGCCGCGUGAGUGAUGAAGGCCUUCGGGUUGUAAAGCUCUUUUACCCGGGAUGAUAAUGACAGUACCGGGAGAAUAAGCUCCGGCUAACUCCGUGCCAGCAGCCGCGGUAAU